rnacentral:lncRNA from 1 species
GAGACUAAGAGAAUGUGCAGUCAAACUAAGUAGCCUCACUGUGAAUAGCCAAUACACUACAGGUCAAAGGACCAGUCACAUCACUACAGUAUCGAGAAGAUCACUGAUGAGUGAGUAGACAUCCAAGUAAUUUUUUGUAUUGAUCACGCUCAGUGUAAGUUAUUCUCUAACAACCAUCUGCACUCUCACCUUAGUAUCUCUACACCAUAGACUCGAGACUUAUCUGCCCCA